AAUGAACGUUGGCGGCGUGGAUUAGGCAUGCAAGUCGUGCGCGAAUCGUAGCAAUACGAGGAGAGCGGCGAAAGGGAGAGGAUUACAUAGAUACCUACCCUCGGGCCUGGGAUAGCUAUGGGAAACUAUAGGUAAUACCAGAUAACGUCUCCGGACCAAAGGUGUGAUUCCGUCCGUGGAGGGGUCUAUGUCCUAUUAGCUUGUUGGUGAGGUAACGGCUCACCAAGGCCAAGAUGGGUACGAGGCGUGAGAGCGUGUCCUCGCUCACUGGGACUGAGACACUGCCCAGACACCUACGGGUGGCUGCAGUCGAGAAUCUUCGGCAAUGGGCGCAAGCCUGACCGAGCGACGCCGCGUGCGAGAUGAAGGCCUUCGGGUUGUAAACCGCUGUCAGUGCGGAGGAAAUGUAGUGGGGUUCUCCCCAUUAUUUGACCUAUGCGCAGAGGAAGGACGGGCUAAGUUCGUGCCAGCCGCCGCUGUAAGAC
rnacentral:rRNA from 1 species